GAUGAACGCUGGCGGCGUGCUUAACACAUGCAAGUCGAACGGUGAACGAGGGAGCUUGCUCCCUCCGGAUCAGUGGCGAACGGGUGAGUAACACGUGAGCAAUCUGCCCUGGACUCUGGGAUAAGCGUUGGAAACGACGUCUAAUACCGGAUACGAGACGCGAAGGCAUCUUCAGCGUCUGGAAAGAACUUCGGUCCAGGAUGAGCUCGCGGCCUAUCAGGUGGUUGGUGAGGUAACGGCUCACCAAGCCUACGACGGGUAGCCGGCCUGAGAGGGUAACCGGCCACACUGGGACUGAGACACGGCCCAGACUCCUACGGGAGGCAGCAGUGGGGAAUAUUGCACAAUGGGCGCAAGCCUGAUGCAGCAACGCCGCGUGAGGGACGACGGCCUUCGGGUUGUAAACCUCUUUUAGCAGGGAAGAAGCGAAAGUGACGGUACCUGCAGAAAAAGCACCGGCUAACUACGUGCCAGCCGCCGCGGUAACAC
rnacentral:rRNA from 1 species